UCGAAGCCUGCACAGCAGAACGACCCGUGAACAUGUAAUGACAAUCGGCAUCAGGGUGAUUAGGUAUGAGCCUGGGAGCCAUGAUGCUUUGUUGGUGUGCGCACACCGGGUCACUUUGUGGCCUUGUGGAUGUUAUGCCGACACAAAAACAAACCCCGGCACGGCAUGUGCCAAGGAAAACAAAACAUAAGAAGGGUGCACCCGUGUUGCUCCGUUCGCGGUAUGYGCACGGGUCGUGGCCUCUUUGAAACCA
rnacentral:misc_RNA from 1 species